rnacentral:lncRNA from 1 species
CAGGAGAGAACACCCCUUCAGCAAAAACUAGAUGAAUUUGGGGAACAGCUUUCCUCUCAAAGAAAAGAAAAGAAAAAUGACAAGGUCUCAUUCUGUUGCCCAGGCUAGUGUGCAGUGACACAGCUGUGGCUCACUUACAGCCUCAACCUCCCAGGCUCAAGUCCUCCCACCCCAGCCUAGACUCAAAGAAUUUCACAUUUUUGGCUGGGCACAGUGGUUCACGCCUGUUAUUUCAGCACUUUGGGAGGCCGAGGCGGGCGGAUCACCUGAGGUCAGGAGUUCGAGACCAGCCUGACCNNNNNNNNNNUCAGGAGUUCGAGACCAGCCUGACCAACAUGGUGAAACCUCGUCUCUACUAAUAUUACAAAAAUUAGCUGGGCAUGUUGGCAGGCGCCUAUAAUUUCAGCUAUUUGCACCAGGAGGUGAAGGCUCCAUAGUCCUCAGCCAUUUCUGUCUAUAGUUACUCCCAUGAUCUCUUCUGGUCUCAUUACUAUAAUCAGUAGCCACUAGCUAUCUAAAACUACUUAGAAUACUUAAAACAAACAAAACAAAACAAAACAAAACUACUUAGAAUACCUAAAAACACUUCCUUAGAUGCCCUAGCCAUAUUCACUUAAAGUGCUUAUCCAUCACGUGCUUAUCCAUCAUGAGACAGCCACAUGAACAGUGGCCACAGAGCAUUGCCAUCUUUCACAGAGUUCUGGUGGACAGCUCUGCUUGGGGCCAUCUCUUCACCUCCAACGUUCCCUAGUUUAAGUCAGUGUCAUUAUACUGAAUGGUAUUCCUUGUCUCCCUUCAGCCAAUGCUUUUGUUUUUUGAGACGGAGUUUGCUCUUUCGUCCAGGGUGGAGUGAAGUGGCGCAAUCUCAUCUCUGCAAUCUCUGCCCCCCUGGCUUUAAGCAGUUCUCCUGCCUCGGCCUCCUGAG